GAAAGGAAAAUGGUGGUACAUAAAUUA
rnacentral:piRNA from 1 species